rnacentral:rRNA from 1 species
GACGAACGCUGGCGGCGUGCUUAACACAUGCAAGUCGAACGGAGCGAAUGAAAGCUUGCUUUUAUGAGCUUAGUGGCAAACGGGUGAGUAACACGUAGACAACCUGCCGACAGGAUGGGGACAACAUUCCGAAAGGAAUGCUAAUACCGAAUGAAGCGGAGGAGAGGCAUCUCUCCUGCGUGAAAGAUGGCCUCUUUUUAUGCUAUCACCUGUUGAUGGGUCUGCGUCUGAUUAGCUGGUUGGUGAGGUAACAGCUCACCAAGGCGACGAUCAGUAGCCGGUCUGAGAGGAUGAACGGCCACAUUGGGACUGAGACACGGCCCAGACUCCUACGGGAGGCAGCAGUGGGGAAUCUUCCGCAAUGGGCGCAAGCCUGACGGAGCAACGCCGCGUGAGUGAAGAAGGUCUUCGGAUCGUAAAGCUCUGUUGACGGGGACGAACGUGCGGGGUGCGAAUAGCG